rnacentral:rRNA from 1 species
CCUACGGGUGGCUGCAGUGAGGAAUAUUGGUCAAUGGGCGCAAGCCUGAACCAGCAAUGCCGCGUGUGGGAUGACGGGGCUCUGCCUUGUAAACCACUGUCGGACGGGACGAAAAGGGAUAUCAAUCCCUGGGACGGUACCGUCAAAGGAAGGGUCGGCUAACUACGUGCCAGCAGCCGCGGUAAUACGUAGGACCCGAGCGUUGUCCGGAUUCACUGGGUAUAAAGGGUGCGUAGGCGGCCUUGUGCGUCAGAGGUGAAAUCUCCGGGCUUAAC